CGGCCGCAUCAUGUUGAAACACCGGUUGCUGUACGAUCACCGAAGUUAAGCAACGUCGAGACUGGUCAGUAUCUAGAUGGGUGACCAUUUGUAAAUAUCAGGUGCUGUAA